CCCUUAGAUGUUCUGGGCCGCACGCGCGCUACACUGACGAUGGCAACGAGUUUUUCCUUCGCCGAAAGGUGUGGGUAAUCUUUUGAAACAUCGUCGUGCUGGGGAUAGAUCAUUGCAAUUUUUGAUCUUGAACGAGGAAUUCCUAGUAAGCGCGAGUCAUCAGCUCGCGUUGAUUACGUCCCUGCCCUUUGUACACACCGCCCGUCGCUACUACCGAUUGAAUGGUUUAGUGGGACCCCUGAUUGGCGCCGCCGCCCCGGCAACGGAGCAGCGGACUGCCGGAAAGUUGUUCAAACUUGAUCAUUUAGAGGAAGUAAAAGUCGUAACA
rnacentral:rRNA from 1 species